UACGAAGGGGGCUAGCGUUGCUCGGAAUUACUGGGCGUAAAGCGCACGUAGGCGGCUUUCUAAGUCGGGGGUGAAAUCCUGGAGCUCAACUCCAGAACUGCCUUCGAUACUGGCGAUCUCGAGUCCGGGAGAGGUGAGUGGAACUGCGAGUGUAGAGGUGAAAUUCGUAGAUAUCGCAAGAACACCAAUUGCGAAGGCAGCUACUUACACAGUUAUUGACACUGAGGCACGAAAGCGUGGGGAUCAAACAGG
rnacentral:rRNA from 1 species